UUCAACCCAGCCCUCCAGAACCUGUGCGCCAAACCACAGUUCUAUCCUGGACGGCUGGAUGGGGGACGGACAGACUGACGGAUGGGACUGAUGAUUGACAGCUCUGUCCCACCUGCACCAGGCCUGAGGCUGGGCACCCAGUAGGAGCUUAGCCAGCAUCGGCCACAAGAACACUGGGCAUUCUCACGCAGUGCCUGCCGGAGGGGCCUCAUGUCCCCAGCAGGGCCGGAGCUUGGGGGCGGUGGGCAGUGUGCCUGGGCUGCUGGGGGGGCCCAACUCCCUCCCGAGCAGAGCCACGGCGGCAUGACGGAUGUGCCCGCCACCGCGGGGAGCCCAGGGUAUAGCAGUUGCCUGGAAACAGGCUGCUCUCGCGGCCCACACUCAGACCUUUGUCACCAUCUCAAGGACCUUUUUUUCCCUCUUCCUCCUUUCACGAUGGAGCCAGACCCUGCACGCAGACACGGACUGAGGACUUCAUGUAUUCCAGAUUCUCCCCACAGCAACUGGAAGAAGUAGCUGACGUUGCUCUCCCCAUUUUACAGAUGUGAGAAUGGAAGAAGUUAAGAUGGAUCCAAGCCAGUUGGCCAUUUCCUCCAUGAAGCCUGCCCUGACCACACCAGCCCUGAGUUACAUGCCUCAGCCUCAGAACCGCCGGGGGCCUGGGCUGGGAAAGUGCCCAUCCUCCUCUCAAGUCCGCGGCACUCGCCAUCCACCAAGAUGGGCUGCUGCUUUUACCUGCAUAGCAACUUUCUUCUCCUGGUAACAGCAUCUUGAAAUCCCUUUGAGAAACCGCCUCCUUCAUAUUCAGAGCAUGUUGCUGGAGCCAUACUGACCUGACCACUGAAAGCAUUGAAUGACUAGGCCACUGAAACCAUCCCAUGCCCCAACCACCGUGAGUGUGACCAGAUUUCUGAGAACACCGGCCGGGUGCGGUGGCUCACGCCUGUAAUCCCAGCACUUUGGGAGGCCGAGGCAGGCGGAUCACCUGAGGUCAGGAGUUCGAGACCAGCCUGGCCAAUAUGGCAAAACCCCGUCUCUACUAAAAAUACAAAAAUUAGCCGGGUGUGGUGGAGCAUGCCUGUAAUCCCAGCCACUCGGGAGGCUGAGGCAGGCGAAUCACCUGAACCUGGGAGGCAGAGGUUGCAGUGAGCCAAGAUCACGCCAUUGUACUCCAGGCUGGGUGACAGAGCGAGACUCCAUCUCAAAAAAAAAGAUUUCUGACAACACCCUUUGAGCCCCUGGAUUCAACCACACCUAAAGGCCCUUUUCUUCUUCACUUAGGUCUCUCAGUGCUGGAUUUCCUGCAACCCCAUGAGCCCUGACGGAUGUACCAUUUGUUCAGUGCAGUCAGACCCCCUCUGGUCUGGCCCAGAUGGCUGUACCAGCCUCCUCUCUGCACUCCUGGCCUCUAGGUUUUCCCUUCUGGUACACCAGAAUAAAGUUCAAACUCCUUGGUGUGGCAUUCAAGGCCUUUCACUAUCUUGUUCCAGCCUCUACUUCUCUCUGUGCCAACCACACUGAACCUUCCAUUCCCCUGAACAGCAAGACUGCGUUCAGACUUGUUCG
rnacentral:lncRNA from 10 species